rnacentral:rRNA from 1 species
GAUGAAGCCCAGCUUGCUGGGUGGAUUAGUGGCGAACGGGUGAGUAACACGUGAGUAACCUGCCCUUAACUCUGGGAUAAGCCUGGGAAACUGGGUCUAAUACCGGAUAGGAGCGCUACCGCAUGGUGGGUGUUGGAAAGAUUUAUCGGUUUUGGAUGGACUCGCGGCCUAUCAGCUUGUUGGUGAGGUAAUGGCUCACCAAGGCGACGACGGGUAGCCGGCCUGAGAGGGUGACCGGCCACACUGGGACUGAGACACGGCCCAGACUCCUACGGGAGGCAGCAGUGGGGAAUAUUGCACAAUGGGCGCAAGCCUGAUGCAGCGACGCCGCGUGAGGGAUGACGGCCUUCGGGUUGUAAACCUCUUUCAGUAGGGAAGAAGCGAAAGUGACGGUACCUGCAGAAGAAGCACCGGCUAACUACGUGCCAGCAGCCGCGGUAAUACGUAGGGUGCGAGCGUUAUCCGGAAUUAUUGGGCGUAAAGAGCUCGUAGGCGGUUUGUCGCGUCUGUCGUGAAAGUCCGGGGCUUAACCCCGGAUCUGCGGUGGGUACGGGCAGACUAAGUGCAGUAGGGGAGACUGGAAUUCCUGGUGUAGCGGUGGAAUGCGCAGAUAUCAGGAGGAACACCGAUGGCGAAGGCAGGUCUCUGGGCUGUAACUGACGCUGAGGAGCGAAAGCAUGGGGAGCGAACAGGAUUAGAUACCCUGGUAGUCCAUGCCGUAAACGUUGGGCACUAGUGUGGGGACCAUUCCACGGGUUUCCGCGCCGCAGCUAACGCAUUAAGUGCCCGCCUGGGGAGUACGGCGCAAGGCUAAAACUCAAGGAAUUGACGGGGGGCCCGCACA